rnacentral:rRNA from 1 species
GACGAACGCUGGCGGCGUGCCUAAUACAUGCAAGUUGAGCGAUGAAGAUUGGUGCUUGCUCCAAUUUGAAGAGCAGCGAACGGGUGAGUAACGCGUGGGGAAUCUGCCUUUGAGCGGGGGACAACAUUUGGAAACGAAUGCUAAUACCGCAUAACAACUUUAAACAUAAGUUUUAAGUUUGAAAGAUGCAAUUGCAUCACUCAAAGAUGAUCCCGCGUUGUAUUAGCUAGUUGGUGAGGUAAAGGCUCACCAAGGCGAUGAUACGUAGCCGACCUGGGAGGGUGAUCGGCCACAUUGGGACCGGGACACGGCCCAAACCCCUACGGGAGGCAGCAGGAGGGAAUCUUCGGCAAUGGAGGAAAGUCUGACCGAGCAACGCCGCGUGAGGGAAGAAGGGUGUCGGAUCGUAAAACUCGGUUGGUAGAGAAGAACGUUGGUGAGAGUGGAAAGCGCAUCAAGUGACGGUAACUACCCAGAAAGGGACGGCUAACUACGUG